AUGAACUUCAGCUUAGUCAUUUAUGGUGAUGCUGUGGCAAUACAUUUGUAAUGAAUAAACUGCAAUGCGUUGUGAAAUUGGAAAGGCAAGGUUGAAUCCAUGAAUACCACCAUCAUUAUAAGAGGCUAUUCUGAGCUGUACGUCUCUAGGGGAGCCAUGAUGACGCUAUAAGCAAGUGGAAAGAGCUUUAGGGAAACAGAAGCGACCCAGCUGCAAACUGACCCGGCGGCGAUAACAGGCAUUGCAAACAUGUUCACACUGUUGGCUUUGAUGGCACUAUUGAUUGUCCCGGUUGAGUCGGACGUUUCAAACACAGAUCAGUGGAAAUCUCUGAGUAACCCACAGAGCAGGAACCUGUUUUUUCAGAUUCUGCAGUCGUAUCUUGCAGGCAGAGACAGUGAAGCUCAAGCAAUGGACAGAAAAGCAAAUGUGAAGGAAAACAAAAACACCAAUACGCCAAAUAAUGGUUAUGACAAAUACAACCUCUUUCUGCACAAUGACAUUUAUGAUGCUUAGCUGAAUAUUGUCCUUUUAGUUCUGUGAUGUUUAAUGUCUACUACAAAGUAAAUUACAGUUUAAAAAAUGUUAUUAUAUUAUUAUUAAUGCACACAAAGUCAUUUUGUCUGUAAUGAUCUUUUACAUAGUAAAACCUCUUGCUUAACAAUUUCCUGCCUGUAUCCCUUUCUGUUUUCUUUAUCAAUUGUUGAGGGAAUACUAGAUGUAAAUUAUUCAUAUAUUUUCUAUAUUUUAAAUUCUUGGUGGCUUCAAUAUCUACCUGAUUUUUU